AGAGUAGCCGUCAGCGCGUAAAGUGCCAUCGAACGGGACGUUGUCGAUGGACGAAAGGAGGGGAAAAACACACUCGCCCUUCUGCGGUGCUGCGGCGCGUCCGCUG
rnacentral:ncRNA from 1 species